UGAGCAACCUGCCCUUCUCUUCGGAAUAAGCGUGGGAAACCGCAUCUAAUGCCGAAUACGACUUCCUUUCGCAUGAUCGGAGGUGGAAAGCUACGGCGGAGAAGGAUGAGCUCGCGGCCUAUCAGCUAGUUGGUGUGGGUAACGGCCCACCAAGGCGACGACGGAUAGCCGGCCUGAGAGGGUGACCGGCCACACUGGGACUGAGACACGGCCCAGACUCCUACGGGAGGNAG
rnacentral:rRNA from 1 species